rnacentral:ncRNA from 1 species
GGGAAAUUUGAUUCUGGUUUCUUAUAGAAUAUUUUUUAGAUGAAUAUUACAUGUAGGUUUUAGCGUGAUAAGAGAUUAAUUUUAAAUAAAUUUUUAUUAUAAAUUUAAUAUCGCAGUUUAUAUUUUUAUAUAUUUAAUUAUUUAAGAUUUAGUCUAUUUAUAAAUUAACCAGCAAAGGUUGUGCCAGCGGCUGCGGUUAUACAUCCGGUUAACAAUAUUUUUGUUAAAAUAAUAUUAUUAUUUAAGGUUAAUGAUUCUUAAUAAUUAAUAUAUUUCUUGAGUGAAAUUUGAAUAUUUUUAUUAAGAAUGGGUAAUUGAUUAUAUGAAACUCGAAAUUAUAAACUAGGAUUAGAUACCCUAUUAUUGAUGAGUGUAAAUUACAUAUUUUAGUAUUAUAAGUUAAGGUCUUUAAAUUAAAAGGAUUUGACGGUAAUUUAGUCUUUUCAGAGGAACCUGUCUCUUAAUUGAUAAUCCACGAUAAAUUUUACCUCGAAGAAAUAUACUUGUAUACCUCUGUUAAUAAAGGAGUGUUUUAAUAGAAUGGAUUCUCUUAUACUUUUAUUAAAUUUUAUAUCAGGUCAAGGUGCAGUUGUGUCGAGGUGUUUGAUGGGUUACUUUAAUAUAAAUGGAUUUUGGAUUAAAUAAUGAAUGGAUUGUUUAUUGAAAUUGGAUUUGAUUGUAAUAUUUAUUAUAUUUUAAUAGUGAUAAAUGCUCUGGAUUAAGUACACAUCGCCCGUCGCUCUCAUUUAUUAAAGUGAGAUAAGUCGUAACAAAGUAGGCUUACUGGAAAGUGAGCCUGGAAAUAUA